GUCUCGGUGGCGGAAUUGGCAGACGCGUACGCUUGAGGUGUGUAUGCCGCAAGGCGUGGAGGUUCGAGUCCUCUCCGAGACA
rnacentral:tRNA from 1 species